UUAUAAUAUUGAUUCAAUAAAUUUAAAACUUAACUCGUAAAUAUUUUAAUAGGAUGAUGAAGACGAAGUUAGAUUUGAAAAUUCAUCUUUCUUAAUCUCGAGAUUAAAUCGUCUUUGAUGCAAAUAUUUUGCUGGUGUACGGUUUAUAUAUGAAUUUUAUGUAUGUGUCAAUAAGAGCUUUGGGGAUAAAACAAAGAUGGUGGUUAAAUUAGGAAUUAGUGUUUUUUUUUUUUUACUAACGAUUUUUUGGAUGCUCUUUGUGGUCUUGUAAAUCUUGAAGAACUUAUUUCAUUAUUUUGGUAAUAGAUAAAUCUUAAUUUCAUUUUGG
rnacentral:lncRNA from 1 species